UACAGAGGGGGCAAGCGUUGUUCGGAAUUACUGGGCGUAAAGGGCGCGUAGGCGGCCCGCUAAGUCGAACGUGAAAUCCCCGGGCUCAACCCGGGAACUGCGUCCGAUACUGGCGGGCUUGAAUCCGGGAGAGGGAUGCGGAAUUCCAGGUGUAGCGGUGAAAUGCGUAGAUAUCUGGAGGAACACCGGUGGCGAAGGCGGGUCUCUGGGCCGAUACUGACGCUGAGGAGCGAAAGCGUGGGGAGCAAACAGG
rnacentral:rRNA from 1 species